UGAUAUUCAUCGAUUGAUUUAAACAUACAAUGCAGAGAAUUAUGAUUUAACAAAGAUACCACCCAACCAUGUGUGUGCUGUGUGAGUGAAUACAGGAAAGCAAAUAAAGCUUGAAGACCAAUCACUGAAUGAAAACAACCAUUGCACAUCAAAAGUGCACCAUACGUUCAAGAGUCAUACAUCAAGUCUGAUACAAGUCAAAUACAAUCCUCCAGAAACAGAAAAAAAAUACAAACAAGUGAAUUCCGUCAACAGGCC
rnacentral:lncRNA from 1 species